AUGUCCAGCGAGCUGCCGCCGCCGUCGGGGGAUGCGCCAGCAGCGAAACCUCCGUCCAACCCCUCCACCACCCUCGCCACCGCUGCCCUCGCUACCGCCGCCGACGGAACCACCACCACCAUAUCCUCCCUCGGCCAAGACCAGCUUCUCGAGAUCUUCCUCCGCCUGCCCAACCUGCCAGCCCUCGUCCACUCCGCGCUCACCUGUCGCCCAUGGCUUGGCGCCGUCCGCUCCUCCCCGUCCUUCCGCCGCCUCUUCCGAGCCCUUCACCCAGCGCCCCUCCUCGGGAUCUUCCUCAAAGUGGACAACGAUACCGCCCCCUCCUUCGCCCCACUGCGCCGCUCAGAUCCCGUCGUCACCGCCGCCCUCCGCCGCGGCGACUUCUUCCUCACCUCCCUCCCCCUGGACGAUGCCUGGACUGUCAUGGACUGCCGCGACGGUUACAUCCUCCUAUGGAAUACUUUCUUUCUGGGCCGUGGCUGUGGAUUCGUGUCGCCGUCUUCCCGUCGGACGACCUCGGAUUGGGCCGUCCACCCCUGGGUGGAGAUCGGUAGUGAUAACAGCCUCAAGUACGGUGCAGGCACGCUGGUGGAUGGUUCAGUUUACUGGCCUUUCUAUGGCGAAGGACGCAUCAUCAGGAUCAACACAGCCACCAUGGAUGUCUCCUCUCUGGAUCUACCCUCACACACAAUUAUUGAUUACUGGCAAGACGAUUUCAUGGUUGGGGAUACCAAGGAUGGAGAACUCUGCAUUGUCCAUGCAUCUGAUGAUUUUCUCCUCCACGUUUGGAUCCGUAGUGUGGGUAGUAAUGGAAUCGGGAUUUGGGUGCGGCAGAACAUAGUCUCUUUCAGUGCAGAAAUUGAUCGGGUCACUCGGGGCUUGGAGGGCCAAGUCAGAGUUGUGCAAGUGAGGUCCGGAUGUGUCUACUUGUCCAUGACACGCAUAACCAAUGCUGGCACACAGCGCACCUGGUUCUUCUACCUUUCAUUGGAGACCAUGGAGGUCGAGUUACUAAUCCACGGCACAUUUGAUGACUGUGCCUUUCCGUAUCGUAUGGCCUGGCCUCCUUGUUUGAUUGGUGAUGAUGGGACCACUGGACAUGAAGUUGAAGCUUCUCGCUGA
rnacentral:rRNA from 1 species